CGGCUUGCCGCUCGCCGCGCCCGCCGUCGCUGUGAUCCCGGAAAAGUCUGCGGAAAUAGAAACAGAUUCGGUGAAGCCACGUCUAGAACAUCAACGCAGUCGGCCCACUAAUGUUGAGAAACAGGUGACGCUGGAGGAGCAGAUGAUCUGCGGCGCGCUGCAGACGCUGGACGAGGAGGCGCCGGAGGACGCGCCGCACGCGCCAGGUGAGACCCCGCGCUCCGCCCACGACACGCCCCCCACCCCGCCCCAUGCACACCCCGCGCCCCACGCGCACCCCGCAGGCGACCGCGACCACGUCAUCAACGUCGCAGACGAUGUCUUCCUUUGAACUGACACAUGUACGAAUUAGGGAUGCACAAUAAUAAAAAAAUAACCCCGCUAUGAGAAAAGCAAUGACGCUAUCUCUCUUAUAUUCAUGAUAUAAAAUUUGUGUCGCGACACUGGAAUUCAAUUUAUUUGACCAAAUGAGGAAUUAUUGGUUCCCAUAACGCGGCAUAACUAGUUGAUUGCCUGUCCAGAAAUCGAUUUAAAAUUGAAAAAAGAUAAUCUGUAUUGUUAUCUUUCUGUAUCGUUUUAUAUUAUCUGCAUGAAGUCUUAUUGUUUAGUUUUUCUUUUUUAUUGAAUUUUUAGAAAUACAUUAUAGCAUGUAUUUAAUACAGUUUAUAAUAUGGAUAAGGUUUACUCAAGUGUAUACUAUCCGAAACAUUAGAAACACUGUAUUAAAAAAAACUAGGAAAUUGAAAUAAAUACAAAUAUAAAGUGCAUCCCUAAUAGGAGACUAAUGAAAAUACUGCCGUAAAGAUAAAUAAUUACAUUCGUGAGAAUAAUUGGCUAUGUUUAUUUAUUAUGUUAGUAAUUUGUUGAAAGAAAGUUCAAUACUUUUCCAAUCUUCUCGUCUAUUAGUUUGACAUUAUUUAGAAUUAUUAAUAAUAAUUGCCAUUAUCAAUUAAUGUGUUUAUAAGAAGCAUGUUUUAUUGCUUUAUAUAGUUUUUAAUUUUUAAUUUGCUUUUUUAUUAUGUGAUUGAAUUUAUACACAACAGUAAUGUUGGUAUUUGUAAAGUACUUAUUACUUCAUUAAAUAUGUGAUAUUUGUGACAAAUAUACAAUUUGUUAUGAGAAUUUAUCAAUAAAAACGUAAUAUUAGAUAUGGAAUUAGUGAAUUUGUUGUGUGGAGGACAAGUCAAAUGAUUUCAAAGCUUUUAAAUAACACAAUACGCAUUUUAUCUGCAGUUGGCUUUGCCUUCGCACGCAAUAAUAAUUUGCUUCAUUUUACAUUAGAUCAGUGUAGUUUUUAUUAUUUGAAUUCACAGUUGUGGAAAGAUGUCGUCCGGUUUGCAUUAUUCCAGUCCAGAGUCUAAAUCUGUUUACGACUGGCAAAAUGUAAACCUAUUCUGGAGCCUAUAGUAUAUUUUGUAGCUAUACAUUUUCCGGUUGUAAUCCAGCACUUAAUUCAACUGCUGGACUGGAAUUAUGUAAACUGUCUAAUGCUAAUUGUAGUCUGCUAAGUGCUAACAUCGAGCGUUGUGACGAGUCAUCUAUUUUGUAAUUUGUCUAAAUCACUUUUUCUCUGGCACAUCAGAUUGCACAGGUUGUUUUAAUAUGUUUAUUUUACCUGUUUUAUUGUGAUUUAUGAAAAAAUAUCCUGAAUUUACUAUUAACAGCUAAACAAACCAACUAAUAAGGUACAUAUUUAUUGUUACUCAUAAUUAAACUGCUAAAGUACUUAUUGUCAUUAGUGUUGUGCCAUACUUAUGGAAACAAUGUAUCGCCAUAGAUUAGAUUUAUUUAGAUUAUUGUAGCGAAAUUGUGAUUUACGUCUUGUAGCAUUCCUAAAUCAUGUUUAGAUAUUUAGUGGCCUUUUAGUUUUGGCUGUGCCUUUUAUAUGGUUGUGAGCAAUGCACAACCAAUAAACAACAAAUAGUAAUUUUCUCGUGCCAAUAAUAGUUUAUUCGAAAGUUCUGUUGAUAAAAUUAUAUCCAACGUAUUUUUUCUUUCUUUGGAAUAACUAUUGUGCUGAUUCUAUAAAGGUCCUCAAAGUAAAGCCUGAAAAUAAAUGUAAAAGACAUCACUAGAGUAUAAGUACAUUAUGCCCCUAGAUGAAAUUAGAUAUUUUACAAUAAUAUUUAAUGUUGAUUGUUACAAGUGUUGUGGAUUAGCAGAAAUGUAUUACGUAGGUAGCUGUUAAGUUUCAAUCUAGAAUUUUGUAAUGUGAAACGUUUACAUAUCAAUACCUACACGUUCCCUUAGCCGUAGAAAACAUUAAAAGUCGAUAUCAUUCCAAAUAUAUUGGUCAGUGGUGCCGAAUAAAAUUAUACAAACGCA